rnacentral:rRNA from 1 species
GACGAACGCUGGCGGCGUGCUUAACACAUGCAAGUCGAACGGAAAGGCCCUGCUUUUGUGGGGUGCUCGAGUGGCGAACGGGUGAGUAACACGUGAGUAACCUGCCCUUGACUUUGGGAUAACUUCAGGAAACUGGGGCUAAUACCGGAUAGGAGCUCCUGCUGCAUGGUGGGGGUUGGAAAGUUUCGGCGGUUGGGGAUGGACUCGCGGCUUAUCAGCCUGUUGGUGGGGUAGUGGCUUACCAAGGCUUUGACGGGUAGCCGGCCUGAGAGGGUGACCGGCCACCUUGGGACUGAGAUACGGCCCAGACUCCUACGGGAGGCAGCAGUGGGGAAUAUUGCACAAUGGGCGGAAGCCUGAUGCAGCAACGCCGCGUGCGGGAUGACGGCCUUCGGGUUGUAAACCGCUUUCGCCUGUGACGAAGCGUGAGUGACGGUAAUGGGUAAAGAAGCACCGGCUAACUACGUG